rnacentral:rRNA from 1 species
UGGGGAAUCUUGCACAAUGGGGGCAACCCUGAUGCAGCGACGCCGCGUGAGCGAUGAAGCCCUUCGGGGCGUAAAGCUCUUUCGACCGGAACGAUAAUGACGGUACCGGGAGAAGAAGCUGCGGCUAACUACGUGCCAGCAGCCGCGGUAAUACGUAGGCAGCAAGCGUUGUUCGGAGUUACUGGGCGUAAAGAGUGCGUAGGCGGUUUUCUAAGUUCGGUGUGAAAUCUCCCGGCUUAACUGGGAGGGUGCGCCGAAGACGGGGAAGCUGGAGUGUGGGAAAGGCAGGCGGAAUUCCUGGUGUAGCGGUGAAAUGCGUAGAUAUCAGGAGGAACACCGGCGGUGUAGACGGCUUGCUAGACCAUAACUGACGCUGAGGCACGAAAGCGUGGGUAGCAAACA